AGGGCUAUGUCUCAGUGGCAGAGCAUCUCCUUUGAAUGUAGAAGGUCCCAGGUUCGAUCCCAGGUCAGGCUGG